rnacentral:rRNA from 1 species
UACGAAGGGUGCAAGCGUUACUCGGAAUUACUGGGCGUAAAGCGUGCGUAGGUGGUUUGUUAAGUCUGAUGUGAAAGCCCUGGGCUCAACCUGGGAAUUGCAUUGGAUACUGGCAGGCUAGAGUGCGGUAGAGGAUGGCGGAAUUCCCGGUGUAGCAGUGAAAUACGUAGAGAUCGGGAGGAACAUCUGUGGCGAAGGCGGCCAUCUGGACCAGCACUGACACUGAGGCACGAAAGCGUGGGGAGCAAACAGG